rnacentral:rRNA from 1 species
GAUGAACGCUAGCGGCAGGCCUAACACAUGCAAGUCGAGGGGCAUCGCGGUGCAGCAAUGCACUGGCGGCGACCGGCGUACGGGUGCGUAACGCGUAUGCAACCUGCCCCGCACCGGGGGAUAGCCCGCCGAAAGGCGGAUUAAUACCCCAUGGCCCCGGGGGCCCGCAUGGGCAUCCGGGUAAAGCCUUGGCGGUGCGGGAUGGGCAUGCGUGCCAUUAGCUGGCUGGUGGGGUAACGGCCCACCAGGGCAACGAUGGCUAGGGGGUCUGAAAGGAUGGUCCCCCCACACUGGUACUGAGACACGGACCAGACUCCUACGGGAGGCAGCAGUGAGGAAUAUUGGUCAAUGGGCGGAAGCCUGAACCAGCCAUGCCGCGUGCGGGAUGAAGGCCCUACGGGUUGUAAACCGCUUUUCCCCGGGAAGAAUAAGCCCCCCGCGGGGGGUGAUGCCGGUACCGGGGGAAUAAGGAUCGGCUAACUCCGUG